CGGGAAAGGAGCCGAUCCUGGUGGAAGACUACAGGUCUGAGUCCACUGGACGAUAAACGAGGCUCCUUGGAUUAGAGACCAUCCUGAGGACAUCCUUGGGAGCCAUGUGCUGAAGAUGGCCAAGCCACAGGAUGAAAGGAGCUGCAUCUUUGAGUCACCACUGGAGAAAGGUCUCUCUAAAUGGAUUUGCAGAGACGUCUUCUCGAAUACUCCCCUUCUAAGUUCCACUUGUAAUCCACUUCUUUUAUUCUCCCAGCAAUCAAUGUGGUUUGGGGAAAUUCCAGAAUCUCAUAAUACCUUGAUCAUGGGUAAAUAAGGAAAGGACCUUUACAUACAUGUGAUGCAAAGCAGAUCAAAACAAGCAGAGCAGCCUAAGAGCAGCAAGACCCCAAAGGAUAAGGGAAGUCCUGCAGAAGAGCAGAGCAGUGCUGCAAAGGCAGGCAGGUAAGGUAAGCAGACGGGGCCAUCAGGAUGGAUCCUUUGGGCAUGCCAGCAUCCACCAGGGACUGGUAGAGCUAUUUAGAGAAACUGAUAAAAAGCUCUGCCAACUACAGUCACAAAAGAUGGAGCUCAGAAUGAUGAGUAGAUGCCUAAAACAUCUCCAUUUUGUUGAUGAAGAAAGUAAAGUUUAUAGAGCUUAGAUUAUUUGCUUUUGUACCUAGCACAGUACUUAGUUUAUAGUAGAUGCACAAUAAGUAUUUGUUUAAUGAGUGAAUGGGUCACUAGCCUAAGACCUUUAAUAUAACAUGCUUAAACCUGCUACCAGGGAUUGGGAACUCACCUAUUUAGUAGUGAGUAGAGGGGUGUGGUACUGGUACUUAAGAUAGAUACAUUGUGGUUGGGUAUGGUGUGUUUUUGUUUUUGUUUUGAGACAGGUUCUCCCUCUGUUGCCCAGGCUGAGAUGCAGUGGCAUUAUCAUGGCUCACUGCAGCCUUAACCUCCCGGGGCUCAAGCGAUCCUCCCACCUCAGCCUCUGAGUAGCUGGGACCACAGGUGUGCAUCACCGUGCCUGGCUAAUUUUGUUUUUUGUUUGUUUGUUUGUUUUGUAGGGACGGGAUUUUGCCAUGUUGCCCAGGUUGGUCUCGAACUCCUGGGCUCAAGCUACACCCGCCCGCCUCGGCCUCCCAAAGUUGUAGGAUUAAGGUGUGAGCCACUGUGUCCAGCAGAUAUGAUGUUUUUAAAAGUUUGAGAGUUAAUAUGCUCUCUGGUGUGCCCUAGGUCCCACUACUCCUAUUGCCUUAAAACUCACGCAGUACACAUUUGUCUUCCAUGGGCUUCAGUUGUAAGAGAACCCUUUCUACUCUUUGCUGUUCACAAGUCUCCUUUUAAACAGAGCUUGUUCCCAAUGCUGUUUUGUUUUGCUCUCUGCCAUGUUCUUCCGGCCAUCACCUACUGUGGGGAAAAGAGAGAGAGAUCACAUUGUUACUGUGUCUGUGUAGAAAGAAGUAGACAUAGGAGACUCCAUUUUGUUCUGUACUAAGAAAAAUUCUUCUGCCUUGAGAUGCUGUUAAUCUGUAACCCUAGCCCCAACCCUGUGCUCCCUGAGACAUAUGCUGUGUCAACUCAGGGUUAAAUGGAUUAAGGGCUGUGCAAGAUGUGCUUUGUUAAAGAAAUGCUUGAAGGCAGCAUGCUCGUUAAGAGUCAUCUCCACUCCCUAAUCUCAAGUACUCAGGGACACAAAACACUGCGGAAGGCCGCAGGGACCUCUGCCUAGGAAAGCCAGGUAUUGUCCAAGGUUUCUCCCCAUGUGAUAGUCUGAAAUGUGGCCUCGUGGGAAGGGAAAGACCUGACCGUCCCCCAGCCCGACACCCGUAAAGGGUCUGUGCUGAGGAGGAUUAGUAAAAGAGGAAGGAACGCCUCUUUUGCAGUUGAGACAAGAGGAAGGCAUCUGUCUCCUGCUCGUCCCUGGGCAAUGGAAUGUCUCAGUGUAAAACCCGAUUGUAUAUUCCAUCUACUGAGAUAGGGGAAAACUGCCUUAGGGCUGGAGGUAGGACAUGCGGGCAGCAAUACUGCUCUUCAAGUCAUUGAGAUGUUUAUGUGUAUACAUAUCCAAAGCACAGCACUUAAUUCUUUACCUUGUUUAUGAUGCAGAGACCUUUGUUCACGUGUUUACCUGCUGACCUUCUCUCCACUAUUAUCCUUUGACCCUGCCACAUCCCCCUCUCCGAGAAACACCCAAUAAUGAUCAAUAAAUACUAAGGGAACUCAGAGGCCGGUGGGCUCCUCCGUAUGCUGAACACCAGUCCCC
rnacentral:lncRNA from 1 species